ACUGCACGGGUGGGGAAGACGAGCAGCCAGUCCUCAGCCAAUAGCCUGCAGGGAUGCCUUGGUUUAGCGAUCCUUUUCAAACUUCGUCCUCUUUUCUUCUUCUUUCCCGGAAAGUCUCAAGCUGUGUUAUUGGGUUGCAUCUACCACUUCACCGAAGCCAACUUCUCUGCAUCGAAAAUCCGGAAUUUCACCAAUGCCCUCCUGAGAAAUUACUGCCACGGCAACUCCGAGGCCAAUGGAUCUCAGAAUCAUGGAUGGACAAAAUGUAACCGGACACCAAGGCAUAGUAAUUAUUUACUUCUGGAACUCAGAGAAAUGUGGUACAGCUAUGAAGCAAGAUAGAAAAACUUAAUUGGAAAUAAAUCUUUACUGAACCAUGUUUAAA